GCCCGGAUAGCCUAGUGGCUAUGGCGGCAGCCUGGAGAGCUGCUCUCCCUUUGGGAGGCAUGAGUUCGAGUCUCAUUCCGGGCGCCA
rnacentral:tRNA from 1 species